ACUCCUACGGGAGGCAGCAGUCGGGAAUUUUGGGCAAUGGGCGAAAGCCUGACCCAGCAACGCCGCGUGAAGGAUGAAAUCCCUCGGGAUGUAAACUUCGCAAGAACGGGAAGAAUAAGUAGGGGACAAUACCCCCUAUGAUGACGGUACCGUUUGUAAGCUCCGGCUAACUCCGUGCCAGCAGCCGCGGUAAU
rnacentral:rRNA from 1 species